rnacentral:rRNA from 1 species
GACGUAGGGCGCAAGCGUUGUCCGGAUUUAUUGGGCGUAAAGAGCUCGUAGGCGGCUUGUCGCGUCGACUGUGAAAACCCGCGGCUCAACCGUGUGGUCUGCAGUCGAUACGGGCAGGCUAGAGUUCGGUAGGGGAGACUGGAAUUCCGGGUGUAGUGGUGAAAUGCGUAGAUAUCCGGAGGAACACCAGUGGCGAAGGCGACUUUCUGGCCUGUUCUUGACGCUGAGGCGCGAAAGCUAGGGGAGCAAACGGG